rnacentral:rRNA from 1 species
GUUAUAGGGUCAAGUGACUAAGAGCAUAUGGUGGAUGCCUUGGCGAUGAUAGGCGACGAAAGACGUGAUAGCCUGCGAUAAGCUU